GACGAACGCUGGCGGCGUGCCUAAUACAUGCAAGUCGAGCGGGCCUCCGGAGGUGCUUGCACCUCCGGAAGGCCAGCGGCGGACGGGUGAGUAACACGUGGGCAACCUGCCUUUGAGGCCGGGAUAACACCGGGAAACCGGUGCUAAUACCGGAUACGUCCUCUUUCGCGCCUGCGAGAGGGGAGAAAGACGGUCUUUAAGGCCGUCGCUCAAAGAGGGGCCCGCGGCGCAUUAGCUGGUUGGUGGGGUAAGGGCCUACCAAGGCGACGAUGCGUUGCCGACCUGGGAGGGUGAUCGGCCACACUGGGACUGAGACACGGCCCAGACUACUGCGGGAGGCAGCAGUAGGGAAUCAUCCGCAAUGGGCGAAAGCCUGACGGUGCAACGCCGCGUGAGUGAGGAAGGUUUUCGGAUCGUAAAGCUCUGUUGUGAGGGAAGAACAGCUUCCGGAGGAAAUGCCGGAGGUUUGCCGGUACCUCACCAGAAAGCCCCGGCUAACUACGUGCCAGCAGCCGCAGUAA
rnacentral:rRNA from 1 species